CUUUAACAAGUACAUGUCGACGGCAAUACGAAGACUGAUUAAAAGCACAAAGGCAAUCAAAACGUACAGGAGAACAUGCGAAGGAGACGCAUUCCUCCACGGGAGGAUGCAGUCUGUCAUGUUUCUGCUGGAAGGGACAAACUGGGACUUGAUAUCCACUACAUAAAUGCCUUCAAAGGUCGGGGCAUUUUCACGACUGUUCCAUUCCAAAAAGGAGACUUCCUUUUGGAAUACAGAGGUAAACUCAUAACAAAAGACGAAUGUGAGCGGAG